rnacentral:lncRNA from 1 species
GGUGAUUGGAUCAUGGAGGCAGUUUCUCAUGAAUGGUUUAGCACUAUCUCCUUGGUGCUAUUCUCACGAUAGUGAGUUCUCAUGAAAUCUGAUCAUUUAAAAGUGAGUAGAACCUCCCCCAUCUCUCUCUCUUGCUUCUGCUCCUGCCAUGUGAGACGCCUCACUCCCUCUUUGUCUUCUGCCAUGACUGGAAGAUUCCUGAGGCCUCCCUAGAAGCAGAAGCCACUGUGCUUCCUGUACAGCCUUCAGAACUAGAAGAUGGAAUGAAACUAGCAACACAAAUCUCUUUUUUGAGAUUUUUAAAAAAGAAAUAAAAAAGGAGAUCAAGAUCAUUGAGGCCAAGACCCUCAGCUCAGAAGUCAGGAUUUUGGAGGCUUGGCUGACUCAGGUAGGAGCUUUUCUUGACUAGAAAAUACUGUUUAUAGAGUGGCCAGGGAAGAAUUAGACAUUAUGAUCAGAUUCCCUGGGCACUGUGAUCCUAAAUUAUGUGGAAUAUGCAUGUCAUUUUUACAUUCUUGAGGUCCUUACAGAUUUAUAAAGCAAAUCAGCAAUUCAGCAUCCUUCUGGCUUCAUGCAGAACAAAGAAGCCGACAUCCCGAAGUCCAGGGAUGUAGUUCUUGAUAAGCCUACC